UGGGGAAUAUUGCACAAUGGGGGAAACCCUGAUGCAGCGACGCCGCGUGAGCGAAGAAGGCCUUCGGGUCGUAAAGCUCUUUUAUGAGGGAAGAUAAUGACGGUACCUCAAGAAAAAGCCCCGGCUAACUACGUGCCAGCAGCCGCGGUAAUACGUAGGGGGCUAGCGUUGUCCGGAAUCACUGGGCGUAAGGGGUUCGCAGGCGGAAUAACAAGUCAGAUGUGAAAGGCAUGGGCUCAACCCAUGUAAGCAUUUGAAACUGUAAUUCUUGAGAAGUGGAGAGAUAAGUGGAAUUCCUAGUAUAGCGGUGAAAUGCGUAGAUAUUAGGAGGAAUACCUGUGGCGAAGACGACUUACUGGACACAAGUCUGACGCUGAGGAACGAAAGCGUGGGUAGCAAACAGG
rnacentral:rRNA from 1 species